rnacentral:rRNA from 1 species
GAGACCCACGCCAACAGUUGCCAGCAUGUCCUCCGGGAUGGUGGGGACACUGUUGGGACCGCCUCUGCUAAAGAGGAGGAAGGAAUGGGCAACGGUAGGUCAGCAUGCCCCGAAUUAUCCGAGCUACACGCGGGCUACAAUGGUCAGGACAAUGGGUAUCGACACCGAGAGGUGAAGGCAAUCUCUUAAACCUGUCCUUAGUUCGGAUUGUGGGCUGCAACUCGCCCACAUGAAGCUGGAAUCCGUAGUAAUCGCGUCUCAAAAUGGCGCGGUGAAUAU